GUUCGAGCCGCCCUGCAGCGGUGUGGAGACUCCGACCAGCUGGGGCAGGCGGCUCAGGUCGCGGCCAGCCAGGGGUUGGGAAACUAGCUUCCAUGGCCAAACCUAGCCCACUGUCUGUUUUGUUUCCUGCUCUUCCCAACCUGCCCUAUGGACUUCAUAAGAUUUCAGCAUUAGAGAGAAUAUAGAAGGACAUCAACCCUAACUUCAUCCAGUGAGGAUUUCCACACACCAUACACUCUCUGAGAGUUCUCUUGGCUUUGUGUGCACACCUCCAGUGACAGGGAGCUCGCUAUGUCAUGAGGCAGCCUGCUCCCUUGUGGCUAUCACUGACCCAACUAUUAAGCCUUCUUAUACAGACAGUCCCUGACUUACUGUUAGACUUACAACUUUUUGAUUUUACAGUGGUGCAAAAGCAAUAUGCAUUCAAUAGAAACUGUAUUUCAAAUUUUGAAUUAUGAUCUUUUCCCAGGCUAGCAACAUAUGAAGACCAACCUUUUAUUUUUAAAGUA
rnacentral:antisense_RNA from 1 species